rnacentral:rRNA from 1 species
GACGAACGCUGGCGGCGUGCCUAAUACAUGCAAGUCGAACGCUUCUUUCCUCCCGAGUGCUUGCACUCAAUUGGAAAGAGGAGUGGCGGACGGGUGAGUAACACGUGGGUAACCUACCCAUCAGAGGGGGAUAACACUUGGAAACAGGUGCUAAUACCGCAUAACAGUUUAUGCCGCAUGGCAUAAGAGUGAAAGGCGCUUUCGGGUGUCGCUGAUGGAUGGACCCGCGGUGCAUUAGCUAGUUGGUGAGGUAACGGCUCACCAAGGCCACGAUGCAUAGCCGACCUGAGAGGGUGAUCGGUCACACUGGGACUGAGACACGGCCCAGACUCCUACGGGAGGCAGCAGUAGGGAAUCUUCGGCAAAGGACGAAAGUCUGACCGAGCAACGCCGCGUGAGUGAAGAAGGUUUUCGGAUCGUAAAACUCUGUUGUUAGAGAAGAACAAGGACGUUAGUAACUGAACGUCCCCUGACGGUAUCUAACCAGAAAGCCACGGCUAACUACGUG